CCUGGUCUGACAGACCCUAAUGAAGUUAGGUCACAUUCAGGUCAAAUUCAGACAGUCAUGCUAGUCUCAGUUACUUCAACUAAACCAUGUUUGCAUGAUGUCUGAAGUCAGUCAUGCAGUUAUAAACAUUAUGUCACAAUAGCACAGCCUAUGGGAAGGAGUGCUGUAUUCCUUGGUUCCUGUAUAGCAGCUUUCCUUUGGGGACUGCCAGCCCAUUUCUACUGUAUAUUCCCACCAACGACCCAACCCAAAUCUCUAGUGUUCUCAUGUGUGUUGACACCACGUGUGGUCCAUGGCCACAGAGCAUCAUCUUGGGGUUAUGGCCAUGCCAUGCAACCUGACCUCCUUGAACAAUUCUUAACUAUUAGCAUCUUUAGCACUGCCAUGGAAGAUCAUAACUAGUUGUAUAGACUGGUAGUCAGAGCUUUUGAACUUUGAGAUGAGCUGCUCCACUCAAUGGCUUACUAGACAAACCCAUACCAACAUUUUAUUACUAACACCCACCUCUCUACAUGUUCACUUUACUGGCUACAUAUUUGUUUCCAUGUCCAACUUUAAGUGCUAGUGCUUCCUUGUGAAGCUCAUCAUGACCUGAAAGACCUUCUUGCUUGAUAUGAAUCUGUGUGAUAAUUAUGUUCCUAACACCAGUGACUCUUAACACUCUACUUGUCUUUGAGGAUGCUAUCAACCUCAGCCUGGGUCUAGGUCUUUUCUGUUUUAUCUUCACUGUUAUGGAACUGCCUUCUGGAAGAGAUGAGGUAGGCACCUUCACUUGGGAUCUUCUGGCAAGACUGCAAGAGAGACUUGUUUAAAACAGCUUACAGAGCAACUUGGAAAGACUCAAGCUUAAUUGCUUUAAUGAUCCAUUUAAAAGGAAUGUCCUAAUCCACAGUUGGCCACCUUAGCAAUCAUGCAUUAUGUAUUUGAUGAAGUGAGCUCUGACAAAAGGUUAUGUUGAAAAACAUUUUGUCAGUCUUCAAAGUGCCACUGGACUUCUGUAUCAUGGCAGAUCAAAAUGGAGAAGCGGUUUUGCUUCUGCUGAUGACUUUGGAUCAUUAAAGAAUGUCACGGUGCCUUUGUAACUGGGAGGAAGUGAAAGAAGACAAGCAUGGAGAAUAAAAAUAAGCAACAUGAAACAGAACUGAGCAAGAAAAGAGGGACAAUAAAAACAGGCUGGGAGAUGCCAAUCACAGAUGGCUGAAAAAGUACACCAUAUUAUUCUUAGCGAAUUUCUCAGAAAAGUCUGUUGAAAGGAGAGAAAAGGCAAAAUCACAGUGUACAUCAAUAUCAAGAGGAAAAGACUGAAGAAAUACAGCUUGAUACCUGGAAUGAAGGCAACUCAGAAAUGAACCUCUCUGACUGGAUUCUAUUGGGACUUUGCUUUAUUAUUCUAGCCACUGCUAUUUUCCAGUUUCUUUUUUGUACCAUUUGAAUCUGCAUUUAUC